GCCCGUACUCCGCCGUACAGGGCCUUCUCUCCAAAAUGGCUCUGCCCCUACCUUUACGUGGCGCACAUGUACGUACGUUGUGUGUGUGUGUGUGCGUGUGUUUUCAUCCCGACUUGGGUCAACGGUGGUGUGUCGCCGCCCGCCCGCCACCACCGACGUGUUGUCCCUCUCCUAGGAGCAUUUUUUCCACUGUUUUAUUUCGUGUUUUAUUUUUUUUUUCCUCACACGCGUCAUGUUCUUCCCGCGAUAACGGUACUCCACUCGCACUUACGGUCUACGUUGACGACGACCACUGUUCGUACCACUGUUGAACUUGAGUUGACGAUCUGGUUUAAUGAUCUAAUUAUCGCUUACGUUCUUUCCAUUAUUCGAAUUUUUUUUUUUUAUCUCGUCCGUCGUUCAGAUAACAUGUCACGCAACUAAACCUUGCACUGAAAUGCUGUUAAUUAGCGCCGCCCGUGAGUUCGACUACGGGCUCUUUGGCUUGCCUCCUCUGCUGUGUAAUUUUAAAAUAAUAUUAACCGAGCUUAUUAGAUUUUCAUACAUGUAUUUAUUUAUCUGUUGGUACCGUCUUGAGAAAGUACCUACAUGGCGCCGCAUACAUGGUCAAUUUAUAAUAUUUAGACAUUAAGUAGGUCUUGUCACAUCCUGGUUCUUUAGAAUAAUACAAUUUUUUUCUUCAUUAUAUAGUAUAUACGCGAUUGGAUAGAAAGUGAAAGCGUAUACGGUUUGUGACCGUCUAUAUCGCGCUUGUGUGUGCGUGUGUGCUUGUAUUUGAGUUUUUUGUGUGUGUGCAUGCCUGCGUGUGAUUUACUUUUUAAGACGCAUUCCGAUGCGUGUGCAUUUUUCGAAACGUUUGCUGACAAUUCGAGACAAACUUGUUGACUGUUUUUAAGUUUUUCUUAGUAAUUCAUGUUAACGGUUUAUCUCUUUUUUUUUUUUUUAUUUAAUUGACGUAAAGGAGAAGUGAAUAACAUAACAUCCAGUUUAAAACAAAAGGUAGUGUCUGCUUUGACACGCAUCAUCCGGAUUAUCUAUCCAGCAACGUCUUUUUUUUUAUAUUAAUAUACAUUUUGUCUACUUCUGAAAAUGGUGCACAUAGAUUCGUGUGAUCAUCUAAGCCAAUUAACACUUGCCUCCUAAUGAUUAAAGUAUGAAUACAGGAAGUUAUCCUACAUUUGUGACCGCUGCGCCGGCAACUUCAUUCAACCCCUGUUCAAGUGCAAAUAUGACUCAGGUGAAUGCGGGCAAUAAAUUUACCAAUGUCCAACAACAGACAGCUACAGUAAAUACUAAUACAGUAGUUAAUACUUCUAAUACAAGCGGACAAGUUGUUGCAUUAUUAAACAGUGAUGAAGCUGGCGUUACUUACUUAAGACCACUUGAUUCAAAUGGUUUUGCUGUUAAUUUAGCUGGUGUUGGAUCUUCUAACCAACAAGGACAAAUAUUUACUAUUCCCAUAACUGUUCCUGGUUCAAAGCCUGGUGAACAAAGCCAAACUAUACAAAUUCAAGUUGUUGGUCAAGGUGGUAUAUCUGGAGAUAAACUAUUGCCAGUUUUUGGACCUGUGUUACAGUUAGCAUAUAACCAACAACAAGACAAUGGAAGCAUUCAACUUCAAUUACAACAAGAUGGUGAUGUUUCAAAUGACCAAAUACAUAAUAAUAAUAAUGAUUCCAUGCAAUCAUCUGACUUAUUGCAAGAAGUUCAAGAAGACCAAGAGAUGAUACAAGAUGUUAAACCAGUAAUUAUCGAACAAAGCAGCACAGAUAGUAAUGGUAUGCAAUUUCCAUUGGCCGUUGUGGUAAAUCAAGAUAUGGUAGUGCGGCGUAAUCAGCAAGAUAACAAAAUAAUUGGCGAUCAAAAAGAUAAUCAGGCGGACAAACGAUUAAGAAUUCAAAAUGAACAAGAUUCAGCCAGUCAAUAUGUGAUGACUUAUUCAUCUAACACAAGCAAUUCUGUUUCAUUAGCUGAUUAUAUAUCAAUGAAUCAUGAUAAUAUUCCUCUUGGACACUUUUUAAAAUUUUCACCUGAUAAUAAUAAAAGAGAGAGUAUGGAAUCAACUGGGACUCAAGAAGAUGGCAAUAGUGAAAUGGUUGUGUAUGAAGAUGCUAAUAGUCAAGAAAAGGGUAAAAGGAAAAAAAAAUACAAAAAGAAACCACCAGCUGCUCGAAAACCUCGACCUGGGCAAAUACAUAUUGCUACUGCCUUAGAUGGUACUCUUUUGUUUUGUUGUCCAGAAUGUAGUAUGGCUUACCCAGAUAAAGAAAUGCUUGAACAACAUUUAGUUGCUCAUAAAAUAGAAAGAAGAUUUAUUUGUGAUCUUUGUGGUGCUGGACUUAAACGUAAAGAACAUUUAGAACGGCAUAAAUUAGGUCAUAAUCCAGAACGUCCUUUUGUGUGUAAUGUGUGUUGUAAAGGUUUCAAGAGAAAAGAACAUUUAAAUUUGCAUGCUGUAAUCCAUUCAGGUGUAAAGACUGAAGUAUGUCAGGAUUGUGGUAAAGGUUUUUAUAGACGAGAUCAUUUAAGAAAGCACACUCAAAGUCAUAUUACCAAACGUCUAAAAGAAGAGCAUGCUGCGCUUCAACAAUUAGCUGAACAAGUAACAGUAUCUGAUCGCCAAAAAUUGUCUGUCCCAGAGUUGAUUCAAAAUCAAGCUCAUUCUACACCAAUCAUUAAUCUGGCUCAUCAAGAAAUGAUUAUUGAUGCUGUUGCUAGUGGAAGACACACCCCUACCCCUCCUAAUGAUCAUCAAAUUGUCAUUACCAAAGGAAACCAAAAACUUACUGAACAAGAAUUAAUUAUAUUGCAACAGCAACAAAUUCAACAGCAGCAGCAACAAAUACAACAACAACAACAGCAGCAGCAGCAGCAGCAGCAGCAACAACAACAACAACAACAACAACAGCAGCAGCAGCAACAGCAACAACAACCAAAUAGUCCAAAUAUAGCUCAACAAGAGAUGAUUAUUGAAGCUGUAGGACAACAACAACAAAGUCCGUCUUCACCACAUGUAGAACAUCAUCAAGUAGUUAUUACUAAACUGGAACCAAAUGAAGACUCUAGAGAAAACGAAAGUAUUGUAUUGACUCAGACAGAUGCUAGAGAAGCACUUGGUUUACUGCACCAUCAACCUCAAUGACCUCUACUCUCAAUUACUAAGGUGACAAUUAAACAGAAACCACCAUAAUAAUAGGAUUGUGGGGAGAGAAGAACAUUGAUCCCUUUUCAAUUGAGUGAAAAUAAAAUUUUUACCAAACCUUUUAUUUGUUGCGGACAUGAUAUUGUUAUCCAAAUGAAAAAAUGAAACCUUUAAUAAUCACAUUUAUUGAUAUUUAAAUUUCAAUAAUAAAUCAAGAUCAUAGAAAACUACUGUUGGUGUACUAUUGAUUAUAUAUUUUCUAUUUUUUUAAA